rnacentral:lncRNA from 1 species
UUUAAUAAAUCUGGAUCAGCAUCCCUUCUGCAAGAACAAGGACCCGGGCUCACCUGUCCUCUCCCCAGAGGCCUGACCUCCCUGCAGUCAGUGUGCAUACUUGCAACACAGCAAACACUCCUUCACGCACAUAAAUCAAGUCCACACAGUAAUUAUUGUUCUCCUGGCUGUUGGCCCCAUUUGACACGCUUGGUGUUUACAGCCCCAGUUCAUAAGAUGCAGCAGCUGGUUAGAAAUCAGACAGGUCACAAUAAAACUAGAACAUGGUUUUGUAUUGCCCACUUCGCAACACUUCAUGUGCCAACUGGGAAUGUUCCUGGGACGGCUACAGGGGCCCUCUUGAUCUGAUGGAAAAAAUAGGACAGGAAUUCUCAAGGGAGCUCUGCUCUUUCUCUGAGCAGUGCACCAGUCUCUACACCUUCCUGUCUCCGCUUGGCUGCUAUCCACUCCCCGCUGCCCUUCUCAUUCUGUCUUCUCUGACAUCCCUGGGGUGGUAGAUGGCAACCAGAAUUCUUCGUGCCCCUUGGGUGGCUGGUUUUCCUACCCACCUGCAAACCUGGGAAGGGUAUGAGACCUUGGAGCUGCUGCAGAAGUAGAUCCAGGCUGGCCCUGGCCAGGAAGAAGACGUAUGCAGUCAUACUGCUGGAAAGAGGGAUGCAGCCUUCGGAGGCCUUGCUGCAACCACACCAGGAGAGGAUCAUGUCGCUGGAUUGAAUCCUGGAUCCUGAGGCAGGUCAUGGUUCAAGGAGUUGGUCUGCCCUCUCCCUCCACACCGCAGCCCUCCCCACUCGCACUGCCCUGCAAGGCAGAGGCAAGGAGAGCUGCAGUUUUCCCUCUCCCCUGUCUCUCCAGCUGGUGAGCCAAUUAGCAUGGACACAACACAUAUACAGAUCCUUACAUUUGCGUGCACACACACAUACACACACAGGCCAAUAUUCCCUGCUCCCCAUGUGCAUAGUUGGCACUGAGCAGGACUUUGGUCCCAGCUAAACUGAUGCGAAUUAGGAAAACACCAAAGGAUGAAGGUGCUACUGAAGAGGAGACAGAGACACCACCGAGCUGAUGAUGUUCUUGUAGGGUCUUUCCACAGGGACUUGGAACAGGGUUAGCCCUCAGCCAGGGGACUGACUACAUUUUGUGUUGUUGAAGCCCCCUUUGCUUUUAUUCAUAUUUUUUUAAAUUCUAGGUUUUGUCUUCUUUU